AGCCCCUUAAGCAGAAAGACUUUAACCUUUCUUCGUUUCCCCAAUGAGUUUGUUUCCUCGUGGAUGGUUGUUAUUUCAGUUCCCUCUCCAGCAAAUUUUCUGGAUGGAAUUACUCCUCUUGAGAUAUGUCCUCAAUGGGUCAAGUCUUGAUUGAUUUCUUCCUUCUAGCUCUUACCUAGAUGGAUACUUUGGUCCCUUGAGAGUCUAUUACCCAGUAACUGGUAAUAUUCUUCUUAGUUUGCAGUUUGUUA
rnacentral:lncRNA from 1 species